GCCGUAAACGUUGGGAACUAGGUGUGGGCCUCAUUCCACGAGGUCCGUGCCGCAGCUAACGCAUUAAGUUCCCCGCCUGGGGAGUACGGCCGCAAGGCUAAAACUCAAAGGAAUUGACGGGGGCCCGCACAAGCGGCGGAGCAUGCGGAUUAAUUCGAUGCAACGCGAAGAACCUUACCAAGGCUUGACAUGUGCCGGAAAAGUGCAGAGAUGUGCUCCCCGCAAGGUCGGUACACAGGUGGUGCAUGGUUGUCGUCAGCUCGUGUCGUGAGAUGUUGGGUUAAGUCCCGCAACGAGCGCAACCCUCGUUCUAUGUUGCCAGCACGUAAUGGUGGGGACUCAUAGGAGACUGCCGGGGUCAACUCGGAGGAAGGUGGGGAUGACGUCAAAUCAUCAUGCCCCUUAUGUCUUGGGCUUCACGCAUGCUACAAUGGCCAGUACAAAGGGCUGCGAUACCGCAAGGUGGAGCGAAUCCCAAAAAACUGGUCUCAGUUCGGAUUGGGGUCUGCAACUCGACCCCAUGAAGUCGGAGUCGCUAGUAAUCGCAGAUCAGCAACGCUGCGGUGAAUACGUUCCCGGGCCU
rnacentral:rRNA from 1 species